rnacentral:rRNA from 1 species
GACAGAGGUGCCAAGCGUUAGGCGGAAUCACUGGGCUUAAAGCGUGUGUAGGCGGGUCGUUAAGUACCUUGUGAAAUCCCCCGGCUCAACCGGGGAACGGCUGGGUAUACUGGCGAUCUUGAGCCACCUAGGGGCAGUCGGAACAAGUGGUGGAGCGGUGAAAUGCGUAGAUAUCAGGAGGAACACCUGCGGUGUAGACGGCUUUCUGGACCAUUGUUGACGCUGAGACACGAAAGCGUGGGUAGCAAACAGG